UACGAAGGGGGCUAGCGUUGCUCGGAAUCACUGGGCGUAGAGGGUGCGUAGGCGGGUCUUUAAGUCAGGGGUGAAAUCCUGGAGCUCAACUCCAGAACUGCCUUUGAUACUGAGGAUCUUGAGUUCGGGAGAGGUGAGUGGAACUGCGAGUGUAGAGGUGAAAUUCGUAGAUAUUCGCAAGAACACCAGUGGCGAAGGCGGCUCACUGGCCCGAUACUGACGCUGAGGCACGAAAGCGUGGGGAGCAAACAGGG
rnacentral:rRNA from 1 species